rnacentral:rRNA from 1 species
CAUGCAAGUCGAACGGCAGCGCGGGAGCAAUCCUGGCGGCGAGUGGCGAACGGGUGAGUAAUACAUCGGAACGUGCCCAAUCGUGGGGGAUAACGCAGCGAAAGCUGUGCUAAUACCGCAUACGAUCUACGGAUGAAAGCAGGGGACCGCAAGGCCUUGCGCGAAUGGAGCGGCCGAUGGCAGAUUAGGUAGUUGGUGGGGUAAAGGCUCACCAAGCCAACGAUCUGUAGCUGGUCUGAGAGGACGACCAGCCACACUGGGACUGAGACACGGCCCAGACUCCUACGGGAGGCAGCAGUGGGGAAUUUUGGACAAUGGGCCCAAGCCUGAUCCAGCCAUGCCGCGUGCAGGAUGAAGGCCUUCGGGUUGUAAACUGCUUUUGUACGGAACGAAAAGUCUCUUUCUAAUAAAGAGGGAUCAUGACGGUACCGUAAGAAUAAGCACCGGCUAACUACGUGCCAGCAGCCCCGGUAAUACGUAGGGUGCAAGCGUUAAUCGGAAUUACUGGGCGUAAAGCGUGCGCAGGCGGUGAUGUAAGACAGUUGUGAAAUCCCCGGGCUCAACCUGGGAACUGCAUCUGUGACUGCAUUGCUGGAGUGCGGCAGAGGGGGAUGGAAUUCCGCGUGUAGCAGUGAAAUGCGUAGAUAUGCGGAGGAACACCGAUGGCGAAGGCAAUCCCCUGGGCCUGCACUGACGCUCAUGCACGAAAGCGUGGGGAGCAAACAGGAUUAGAUACCCUGGUAGUCCACGCCCUAAACGAUGUCAACUGGUUGUUGGGAAUUAACUUUCUCAGUAACGAAGCUAACGCGUGAAGUUGACCGCCUGGGGAAUACGGCCGCAAGGUUGAAACUCAAAGGAAUUGACGGGGACCCGCACAAGCGGUGGAUGAUGUGGUUUAAUUCGAUGCAACGCGAAAAACCUUACCCACCUUUGACAUGUACGGAAUUUGCCAAAGAUGGCUUAGUGCUCAAAAGAGAACCGUAACACAGGUGCUGCAUGGCUGUCGUCAACUCGUGGCCUGAGAUGUUGGGUUAAGUCCCGCAACGAGCGCAACCCUUGUCAUUAGUUGCUACAUUCAGUUGGGCACUCUAAUGAGACUGCCGGUGACAAACCGGAGGAAGGUGGGGAUGACGUCAAGUCCUCAUGGCCCUUAUAGGUGGGGCUACACACGUCAUACAAUGGCUGGUACAAAGGGUUGCCAACCCGCGAGGGGGAGCUAAUCCCAUAAAACCAGUCGUAGUCCGGAUCGCAGUCUGCAACUCGACUGCGUGAAGUCGGAAUCGCUAGUAAUCGUGGAUCAGAAUGUCACGGUGAAUACGUUCCCGGGUCUUGUACACACCGCCCGUCACACCAUGGGAGCGGGUUCUGCCAGAAGUAGUUAGCCUAACCCGCAAGGAGGGCGAUUACCACGGCAGGUUGGGGGA